rnacentral:rRNA from 1 species
UAUUGUUAUAGACAUUUAAUAUUACGUGAUAUAGUAAUUGGUAAAUAUAUUUUUAGGGGUGAUAGGCUUUUCAAAUUUAUUGAUAGCUUGAUACGUAAUAAAAUUAUUAAGUAUAAAGUCAUACUAUGAAAGUUAAGUUUUAUAGUAGUAAUUAAUUUAGAGAAAAUAAUAUAUUAUAGUUUAAUAGCUAAUUAAUAGUAAUAUAAAUAUUUUUUUCUUAAUUUUUAUUUAAUGCAUUACGUUAUUUUUACUUAAGUAUAUAUUAAUAAUGUUAAUAUAAGUAAUAUUUAUAAAUAAAUUAAAGGAACUCGGCAAAUACAUUUUUCAACUGUUUAUCAAAAACAUAACUAUAUGGUGUUAUAUAUAGCUGUUCCUGCUCAAUGAUUUUAAAUAGCCGCAGUACCCUGACUGUGCAAAGGUAGCAUAAUCAGUUGGCUUUUAAUUGGAGUCUAGAAUGAAUGGAUUUUUGGAAAAUAACUUUCUCUUUUUUAUUUUUGUGAAAUUAGUUUGUAAGUGAAAAUACUUACAUAUGUAUAAAGGACGAGAAGACCCUAGAAAUUUAAAUAUAAUUUUGUUGGGGCGACAGAAUUACAAAAAACUAAUUUGUUUUUACGUGACGUUUUUACAGAUCGACUAAAUUACUCUAGGGAUAACAGCAUAAUUUUUAUAGUUUGUGACCUCGAUGUUGGACUAGGAUAUUAAAUGGUUUAGAAGAUCUUUAAUAAUGCUCUGUUCGAGCU